rnacentral:sRNA from 1 species
UCCGCUUCCGGUUCCUAGUGUUAACUGCGACCGAGGUUCAGCGCUCGGGUGAGAAGCUGGUGGCGUCGGCAGGUUCCAGACGGUUCGAGGCGAUUCGAGCUCCAGCUAGGAUGAUCGAGGUUGUUUGCAACGACCGUCUGGGGAAGAAGGUCCGCGUUAAAUGCAAUCUUCCUGCCCCUCUUUCCUCUCCCAUCCUCAUCCCCCACACUGGGAUAGGUGCUUGUUUGUAAAAACUCACCUUAAUAAAGACUUAGAUGUUG